rnacentral:lncRNA from 10 species
UCUCAGGAUGACAGGGACCUUCUGCUAUUUCCACUUUCGCUACAAGUCCUUCAGACCACAGGCCUGGCCAUACAAGAUUAAGUCUUGCAAAUGAAAGUGGAAAUAGCAGAAGGUCGCUGUCAUCCUGAGAUUGCUCUCUUUUUUUUUUUUUUUUGAGACAAAGUGUCUCUCUGUUGCCCAGGCUGGAGUGUAGUGAUGCAAUCACGGCUCACUGCAGCCUCCGCCUCCCAGGUGCAAGUGAUUGUCCUGUCUCAGCCUCCUGGGUAGCUGGGAUUACAGGUGCCCGCCACCAUGCCCAGCUAAUUUUGUAUUUUUAGUAGAGACAGGGUUUCACCAUGUUGUCCAGGCUGGUCUCAAAUUCCUGGCCUCAAGUGAUCCACCCGUCUGGGGUUCCCAAAGUGCUGGGAUCACAGGUGUGAGCCACUGUGCCUAGCCCUGAGAUUGCUCUCUUAAUCAGCAAUUCCAGAGCCUCUUUUCCAGCGGAAUUCAGAUGUAGACUAUGUCAGUUCAUUCACAAGUCUGAGAAAUGGAAAACAAUGUGCAGGUUUUGACCCAAAAGCUUGAGGAGAGAGACAGGAGUUACACAGUGGUCUGAGAUUGAGGGACUGGGUUCGAAUCGAGGGAAGUCUUGAGGAGGUGGGAGUUCAGUCUGUUCAGAGUGAGAAGAGAUGAUAUCUAGGGAGAGGAGAAAGUGUGAGAAACUUGUACAGAUAAGGAAGGAACCAAUGUUCAUUCACAACUUGUUGGAUCCAUGAUCUCAUGG